UACGAAGGGGGCUAGCGUUGUUCGGAUUUACUGGGCGUAAAGCGCACGUAGGCGGAUCCUUAAGUCAGAGGUGAAAUCCCAGGGCUCAACCCUGGAACUGCCUUUGAUACUGGGGAUCUCGAGUCCGGGAGAGGUGAGUGGAACUGCGAGUGUAGAGGUGAAAUUCGUAGAUAUUCGCAAGAACACCAGUGGCGAAGGCGGCUCACUGGCCCGGUACUGACGCUGAGGUGCGAAAGCGUGGGGAGCAAACAGG
rnacentral:rRNA from 1 species